rnacentral:lncRNA from 1 species
AUGCGGUGGGCUGAGACACCACCAGGCAGCUCCCAGAGUGCCUUUCCACUCAUUCAAAUUCCAGGCAAUGAAAAAAGUCCUUCCCCCAAUUGGAAACAUGUCUGCUUUGCAAUAAGCCUCCUUAGACAUGCCUUUGUUAUGUGGCAGCCCACAGGCAUAGGAGCUGCACUUGCUAGACUAGGUGACCACAGCAGACAUCCUCUCAAAAAGGCAACACAACAAAGAGAAGAAAAAACAAAUCUUACCUGGCAGCAUAAAUCUCCACAGAUGGUGCCUACCCUUUUUUCUAGUUAUUUUCCAGAAGCUUGAAGAAAAUGAACAGAAGAUCCUCCCUAAAACUAACUCAGUGAGUCCAUCUGGCAGAGGAGAAAGUGUCAUCCAGGUAGGAGUUUAUCGAUCUCACAAGCCUCUCACACAAUAGAUAUUGCAUAGGAAGGUGAUGCAGUAGAUCUCCUAGUUUGAUUUAUUAACGAGAACUGAGACAUGGGAAACAAAUCACUACCAAUUCUGAUGCAGCACAUGACACCUGUUAUGGCAAUCCUCACUCUGAUUUCUCUUUUCACUGCCUACCACAGUAAAGCACUGCUGAAGCACAAUGUCACAAAACUCCCUGAAAGCUCACUAGACAAUUAAUCAAAGAAAGAUUUUGCUUUCCCAUAGUCCCAAAAGAAAUUGCUUACUUAUAAUGCUUAUUCUAUAAUUGAAACAAAGCCUUGAAAGCAGAUAUAGGACAAAGGAUCAGAUAAAUGCUGUUCCUCAAGGUCUGUUUCCAUUUUCUUUGCAUUCCUACUUUGUGUUUUUUACAGGAAAUUAGAAGCCAGACCACCUUCAUUUCUAAAGUACAGGGUUAAAUGAAUUACAUUUACAAAGCCUAGUCUAGCUAUGGUGAAUAGCUGGGACAAGAGUAAUCUUAAUGCAUAGACAAAUCAAUACUCUAAUCACACAGCAGGUUUGUGAGUAAGUAUUUAAACCAUCCAACAGCAGGUCUCUAAGGUGAAGCUCCACAGAACUGGCUGCUGCUUCUUUAAGCACAUUUCAUGAAAAAAUGCUAACCUUGUAAGAUCUCAACUCCCUCCACCCCAAAUAAAAACAACAACAAAACAACA